UACACUCCUACGGGAGGCAGCAGUGGGGAAUUUUACGCAAUGGGGGAAACCCUGACGUAGCGACACCGCGUGAGCGAAGAAGCCCUUUGGGGUGUAAAGCUCUGUCAGCUGGAACGAAAACAAUGACGGUACCAGCAGAGGAAGCAUCGGCUAACUACGUGCCAGCAGCCGCGGUAAGACGUAGGAUGCGAGCGUUGUCCGGAUUUAUUGGGCGUAAAGAGUUCGUAGGUGGUUUGUUAAGUUUGGUGUUAAAGAUCGGGGCUCAACCCUGGGACUGCACUGAAUACUGGCAGACUCGAGUGUGGUAGAGGCUAGUGGAAUUCCCAGUGUAGCGGUGAAAUGCGUAGAUAUUGGGAAGAACACCGGUGGCGUAGGCGACUAGCUAGGCCAUAACUGACGCUGAGGAACGAAAGCCAGGGGAGCGAAUGGGAUUAGAUACCCCGGUAGUCCC
rnacentral:rRNA from 1 species